rnacentral:rRNA from 1 species
UACGUAGGGUGCAAGCGUUAAUCGGAAUUACUGGGCGUAAAGCGUGCGCAGGCGGCUUUGCAAGACAGAUGUGAAAUCCCCGGGCUCAACCUGGGAACUGCAUUUGUGACUGCAAGGCUGGAGUACGGUAGAGGGGGAUGGAAUUCCGCGUGUAGCAGUGAAAUGCGUAGAUAUCUGGAGGAACACCGGUGGCGAAGGCGGCAUCCUGGACCAACACUGACGCUGAGGAGCGAAAGCCAGGGGAGCAAACGGG